rnacentral:snRNA from 14 species
UUACUUACCUGGCAGGGGAGAUACUCCUCUUCUCGGCCUUGAGUGACUUGGUGUAGUUAUGGGGUGAAGGCCUGUCCCUUGCACUAUUGGCAGGCACCUCUGAGAGAGUCUAUAAAUGCCUCCAAAUAUGAGGCUCUCAGCUACACAAUUUAUGGUGAUGGGGGACUGCUCUCUAGCUUUCCCACU